rnacentral:rRNA from 1 species
GAUGAACGCUCGCGGCAGGCCUAACACAUGCAAGUCGAGGGAUAAGCCUUCGGGCUAAGACCGGCGCACGGGUGCGUAACGCGUAUACAAUCUGCCUUUUAUCCGGGGGAUAGCCCGAAGAAAUUUGGAUUAAUACCCUAUGGUAUAAGAGCACGGCAUCGUGCACUUAUUAAAGCUACGGCGGUAAAAGAUGAGUAUGCGUUCUAUUAGCUAGUUGGAGAGGUAACGGCUCCCCAAGGCGACGAUAGAUAGGGGUUCUGAGAGGGAUGUCCCCCACACUGGUACUGAGAUACGGACCAGACUACUACGGGAGGCAGCAGUGAGGAAUAUUGGACAAUGGUCGGAAGACUGAUCCAGCCAUGCCGCGUGCAGGAUGACGGCCUUAUGGGUUGUAAACUGCUUUUGUAAGGGAAGAAUAAGGAGUACGUGUGCUUUGAUGACGGUACCUUACGAAUAAGCAUCGGCUAACUCCGUG